AGCUAAUACCGGAUAACAUUUAGAACCGCAUGGUUCUAAAGUGAAAGAUGGUUUUGCUAUCACUUAUAGAUGGACCCGCGCCGUAUUAGCUAGUUGGUAAGGUAACGGCUUACCAAGGCGACGAUACGUAGCCGACCUGAGAGGGUGAUCGGCCACACUGGAACUGAGACACGGUCCAGACCUACGGAGGCAGCAGGGAAUCUUCCGCAAUGCCUGACGGAGCAACGCCGCGUGAGUGAUGAAGGGUUUCGGCUCGUAAAACUCUGUUAUUAGGGAAGAACAAAUGUGGUAACUGUGCACAUCUUGACGGUACCUAAUCAGAAAGCCACGGCUAACUACGUGCCAGCAGCCGCGGUAAUACGUAGGUAAGCGUUAUCCGGAAUUAUAAAGCGUAGGCGGUUUCUUAAGUCUGAUGUGAAAGCCCACGGCUCAACCGUGGAGGGUCAUUGGAAACUGGGAAACUUGAGUGCAGAAGAGGAAAGUGGAAUUCCAUGUGUAGCGGUGAAAUGCGCAGAGAUAUGGAGGAACACCAGUGGCGAAGGCGACUUUCUGGUCUGUAACUGACGCUGAUGUGCGAAAGCGUGGGGAUCAUACCCUGGUAGUCCACGCCGUAAACGAUGAGUUGGGGGUUUCCGCCCUUAGUGCUGCAGCUAACGCAUUAAGCACUCCGCCUGGGGAGUACGACCGCAAGGUUGAAACUCAAAGGAAUUGACGGGGACCCGCACAAGCGGUGGAGCAUGUGGUUUAAUUCGAAGCAACGCGAAGAACCUUACCAAAUCUUGACAUCCUUUGAAAACUCGAUAGAGCCUUCUCGGGGACAAAGUGACAGGUGGUGCAUGGUUGUCGUCAGCUCGUGUGAGAUGUUGGGUUAAGUCCCGCAACGAGCGCAACCCUAAGCUUAGUUGCCAUCAUUAAGUUGGGCACUCUAGGUUGACUGCCGGUGACAAACCGGAGGAAGGUGGGGAUGACGUCAAAUCAUCAUGCCCUUAUGAUUUGGGCUACACACGUGCUACAAUGGACAAUACAGGGGCAAAGCGCGAGGUCAUGCAAAUCCCAUAAAGUUGUUCAGUUCGGAUUGUAGUCUGCAACUCGACUACAUGAAGCUGGAAUCGCUAGUAAUCGUAGAUCAGCAUGCUACGGUGAAUACCCGGUUCCUGUACACACCGCCCGUCACACCACGAGUUUGUAACACCCGAAGCCGGUGGAGUAACCAUUUAUGGAGCUAGCCGUCGAAGGUGGGACAAAUGAUUGGGGUGAAGUCGUAACAAGGUAGCCGUAUCGGAAGGUGCGGCUGGAUCACCUCCUUU
rnacentral:rRNA from 1 species